rnacentral:sRNA from 1 species
GGGCUGUGUCCUGCCUGGUGGUGCUGGGGUUCCGCACCCUGGACAGCUUCCCCAGACAGUGUUUGGAAUUCAGGGAAGAAAGUACUGUGCGCCCCCAUUUAACCCUCGGGACCUGGCGAAAUCCUGCUUCGUGGGUAGUGAACAUUGUAUCGGGGACUGAAGGAAAUGCUUGUAAAGAGUGUUAGUCUGGAGCCAUACUUUCCCUGCCCUGUUCAAGCUCCCUGGGCUGUCAGAAGCGGAGUUGUUUGUAAAAGCAAAUGCAGACGCCUCCUCCUCCUGUCACUUCGGGACAAGUUAACAAUCUUCAGAUUCGUUGUUAAAGCAGCGUGUACCCUAUGUGAUCUAUCAGGUUCGGCUUUAGAGUGUGGUGAAGGGUACUUUUCAUGGUGCAUGGAAGGAAAGCCAAUGCGCAGGUGUACCAACAUUCGACCAGGAGAGACUGGAAUGGAUGUAACAAGCCGCUGCACCCUUGGAGACCCCAACAAACUGCCAGAAGGGGUUCCCCAACCUGCCCGCAUGCCCUAUAUCUCAGACAAGCACCCUCGACAAACCCUGGAAGUGAUUAACCUUCUGAGAAAGCACCGUGAGCUAUGUGAUGUGGUGCUAGUUGUGGGCGCCAAGAAGAUAUAUGCCCAUCGAGUCAUUUUGUCAGCCUGUAGUCCCUACUUCCGAGCUAUGUUUACAGGAGAAUUGGCAGAGAGCCGUCAGACAGAAGUAGUGAUCCGAGACAUCGACGAGAGGGCUAUGGAAUUACUGAUUGACUUUGCGUAUACCUCCCAGAUAACAGUAGAAGAGGGCAAUGUUCAGACUCUUCUGCCAGCUGCUUGCCUCCUCCAGCUGGCAGAAAUACAGGAAGCCUGCUGUGAAUUCUUAAAGAGACAAUUAGAUCCUUCUAACUGCCUGGGCAUUCGGGCUUUU